GUUCAACGGUCUACUGUGUAUGCAGAGAGCUGGUGGACCAGUAGUGGAGCUCACUGUGCUAAUUUGUGUUGACCAUUUAUUACAGUUUCUUUGUUCCCUGUUUCUGUCAUGAAGUGGUGAAGUGGAGAUGGUGAGGCAGACGCUGGAGACCCAGGUAGGUGAAUGGUGAAUAUUUAAUGAUGAAAAAUAGUCCAAUAACAACAACAAACAGUCAAAGACGUAGUCCGCGGCCAGGCAGCACGGCUGAGCGGAAGCCAGGGCUCAACGCCGGUAGCAACUGGUCAUACAGGCGGCUAAAAAACACACAACGGCAGACAAAGGCAAAAGUACGACAAUGACCCGACGAGGAACAAAGGACACAGGAGGGACUAAAUACACUGAAGGUAAUCAAGGGAACAAGACACACCUGGGAACAAUCAAGAGGAAGACAGGACAACGAGGAGACUCAGGACACAGAAACAGAAUAAAACACAGAAAAACACCAAACCUGACAGUUUCAGUUAGAAGUUACUGUUAAAUAGUUU